rnacentral:rRNA from 1 species
AACGAACGCUGGCGGCAUGCUUAACACAUGCAAGUCGAACGAGACGUUCGGGUUUAGUGGCGCACGGGCGCGUAAUGCGUGGGAAACCGCGCUUAGGAUCGGAAUAACAUCUCGAACGGGGUGGUAAUUCCGGCUAAUGUAUUCGGACUAAAGAUUUAUAGCCUUUGGAUGGGCUCGCGUUGGAUUAGCUAGUUGGUCGGGUAAAUGCCUACCAAGGCGACGAUCCUGAGCUGGUCUGUGAGGAUGAUCAGCCACACUGAGACUGAGACACGGCCCAAGCUCCGACGAGAGGCAGCAGUGGGGAAUAUUGAACAAGGGGCGAAGGCCGGGUCCAGCAGUGCCGCGUGAGUGAUGAAGGCCUUAGGGGUGUAGAGCUCUUUUGCCCGGGAUGGUAGUGACAGUACCGGGAGAAUAAGCUCCGGCUAACUCCGUG